rnacentral:rRNA from 1 species
CAGCAGCCACGGUAAUACGAAGGGUGCAAGCGUUAAUCGGAAUUACUGGGCGUAAAGCGUGCGUAGGCGGUUCGUUAAGUCUGUCGUGAAAGCCCCGGGCUCAACCUGGGAAUGGCAAUGGAUACUGGCGAGCUAGAGUGUGUCAGAGGAUGGUGGAAUUCCCGGUGUAGCGGUGAAAUGCGUAGAGAUCGGGAGGUACAUCAGUGGCGAAGGCGGCCAUCUGGGACAACACUGACGCUGAGGCACGAAAGCGUGGGGAGCAAACAGGAUUAGAUACCCGUGUAGUCCCUGUCUCUUAUAC